rnacentral:rRNA from 1 species
ACGUCUACAUUAGAUACCCCCGUAGUCCCAGCCGUAAACUAUGCGCGUUAGGUGUAUCGGUGACCACGAGUUACCGAGGUGCCGAAGGGAAACCGUGAAACGUGCCGCCUGGGAAGUACGGUCGCAAGGCUAGAAACUUAAAGGAAUUGGCGGGGAGCACCACAACGGGUGGAGCCUGCGGUUUAAUUGGACUCAACGCCGGGAAGCUCACCGGAUAAGACAGCGGAAUGAUUGCCGGGCUGAAGACUCUGCAUGACUAGCUG